rnacentral:rRNA from 1 species
ACACACGUGCUACAAUGGCAGUGACAAUGGGUUAAUCCCAAAAAAACUGUCUCAGUUCGGAUUGGGGUCUGCAACUCGACCCCAUGAAGUCGGAAUCGCUAGUAAUCGCGUAACAGCAUGACGCGGUGAAUACGUUCCCGGGCCUUGUACACACCGCCCGUCACACCACGGAAAUUAGCUACACCCAAAGCUAUUACCUUAACCAAAUGAAGGAGAGGGGUAUCUAAGGUGGAGUUAAUAACUGGGGUGAAGUCGUAACAAGGUAAGGCUACUGGAAGGUGGCCUUGGAUCACCCUC